rnacentral:rRNA from 1 species
UGGGGAAUCUUGCGCAAUGGGCGAAAGCCUGACGCAGCAAUGCCGCGUGAGGGAAGAAGGUCUUAGGAUUGUAAACCUCUUUCAGCAGGGACGAAAACAGACGGUACCUGCAGAAGAAGCCCCGGCUAACUACGUGCCAGCAGCCGCGGUAAUACGUAGGGGGCAAGCGUUGUCCGGAAUCAUUGGGCGUAAAGAGCGUGUAGGCGGACUGGAAGGUCUGGUGUGAAAGCCCGGGGCUCAACCCCGGAGGGUCACUGGAAACCAACAGUCUUGAGUCCGGAAGAGGAGAGUGGAAUUCCUGGUGUAGCGGUGGAAUGCGCAGAUAUCAGGAGGAACACCGAUGGCGAAGGCAGCUCUCUGGUACGUGACUGACGCUGAGACGCGAAAGCGUGGGGAGCGA